UACGUAGGGUGCGAGCGUUGUCCGGAAUUAUUGGGCGUAAAGAGCUCGUAGGCGGUGUGUCACGUCGGCCGUGAAAACCUGCAGCUUAACUGUGGGCGUGCGGUCGAUACGGGCAUCACUGGAGUUCGGCAGGGGAGACUGGAAUUCCUGGUGUAGCGGUGAAAUGCGCAGAUAUCAGGAGGAACACCGGUGGCGAAGGCGGGUCUCUGGGCCGAUACUGACACUGAGGCGCGAAAGCGUGGGGAGCGAACAGG
rnacentral:rRNA from 1 species